AUCACCUGGGGAUUUUGUUAAAAUGCAGCUCCUGAUUCAGUAGGUAUGUGGGAGAUCCUGAGAUUCUGCAUUUCUAACAAUCUCCCAGGUGCUGCUGU
rnacentral:pre_miRNA from 1 species